rnacentral:rRNA from 1 species
AGCGGCGGACGGGUGAGUAAUGCCUAGGAAUCUGCCUGGUAGUGGGGGAUAACGCUCGGAAACGGACGCUAAUACCGCAUACGUCCUACGGGAGAAAGCAGGGGACCUUCGGGCCUUGCGCUAUCAGAUGAGCCUAGGUCGGAUUAGCUAGUUGGUGAGGUAAUGGCUCACCAAGGCGACGAUCCGUAACUGGUCUGAGAGGAUGAUCAGUCACACUGGAACUGAGACACGGUCCAGACUCCUACGGGAGGCAGCAGUGGGGAAUAUUGGACAAUGGGCGAAAGCCUGAUCCAGCCAUGCCGCGUGUGUGAAGAAGGUCUUCGGAUUGUAAAGCACUUUAAGUUGGGAGGAAGGGCAGUUACCUAAUACGUAUCUGUUUUGACGUUACCGACAGAAUAAGCACCGGCUAACUCUGUGCCAGCAGCCGCGGUAAUACAGAGGGUGCAAGCGUUAAUCGGAAUUACUGGGCGUAAAGCGCGCGUAGGUGGUUCGUUAAGUUGGAUGUGAAAUCCCCGGGCUCAACCUGGGAACUGCAUCCAAAACUGGCGAGCUAGAGUAUGGUAGAGGGUGGUGGAAUUUCCUGUGUAGCGGUGAAAUGCGUAGAUAUAGGAAGGAACACCAGUGGCGAAGGCGACCACCUGGACUGAUACUGACACUGAGGUGCGAAAGCGUGGGGAGCAAACAGGAUUAGAUA